CUUAUGCCUAUCCCACGCAUGCUUAAACUCCUUUACUGUGUUAAAUAAUUUAUAUCUCUGUGUACACAUUUAUUUUAUUUUACCAAUAUGGUAUUUGUAAAGGAGUUUAAGCAUGCGUGGGAUAGGCAUAUUU